CCAGACUCCUACGGGAGGCAGCAGUAGGGAAUUUUGCGCAAUGGGCGAAAGCCUGACGCAGCAACGCCGCGUGAUUGAUUAAGCCCUUCGGGGUGUAAAGAUCUGUCAGUGGGGACGAAACUUGACGGUACCCACAGAGGAAGCACCGGCUAACUCCGUGCCAGCAGCCGCGGUAAUACGUAGGGAGCAAGCGUUAUCCGGAUUUAUUGGGUGUAAAGGGUGCGUAGACGGAGAAGCAAGUUAGUUGUGAAAUCCCUCGGCUUAACUGAGGAACUGCAACUAAAACUACUUCCCUUGAGUACUGGAGAGGAAAGUGGAAUUCCUAGUGUAGCGGUGAAAUGCGUAGAUAUUAGGAGGAACACCAGUGGCGAAGGCGACUUUCUGGACAGUAACUGACGUUGAGGCACGAAAGUGUGGGGAGCAAACAGGAUUAGAUACCCUUGUAA
rnacentral:rRNA from 1 species